AAAUUUCACCUCUGGUUUCUGACGAGGAAACUUGGUCGGCUCUCCAACAUGAAAAUACUUCUUUUCCAUCAAAAAAUUGAUGUAACUGUAGCUAAACCGAGAGAAGAGUAUUGUCAUCUCAGUAACCCUAUAGGAUAUAGCCACAGAGGUAUGAAAUUUGGAAGGGUUUUAUUUUUGAUUUGUCUAAAGCAACAAGAUCUCAACUUUUGUGUUGAUAAUAUAGUACAAGUUCAGCGUGCUCAUGUUCGUGUCCAUUUGGGAGAACUACUGGGAAUUCCACCUACAACACAAAUUUUUGACAUCCCAGAAAGCAAUGCUCCGGUAACUGAGUUGACAAUAGUUGACAUGUUAUGCUAUGCUCUUGAACAUGGCUGACAAAAAUCAUCCUCAUAAAAGACAGGUUCAAGCUGUGUCAGAAUUACUAUGUAUGCUCCUGUUGAUAGCAAUCUUGGGAUUGCUAAUAAGGGAUCGCCAUUGAAUUAGCCCUUGUGCCCAUAUCAGAACUUCACUUGAGUAGGGAAGUAUUGGAGAGGACAAAGGUUUAAUUUUUGCUGAGUUUACUUGUGGCUGAACACUUCCAUGUAUAUAUAGUGACUGGUCCAUAAUCGUAUCGUUUUCUAUUUGCAUUUGCAACUCUGUUAUCUCCGGCAACUCUCUGACAUGAAAUUUAACUCUUGCUGUCUGGAUUAUGUUUGGUGCAAAGUUAUUUUUGUUUUCUGUGGUAAAAGUCCUUUCUGCAAGCACCAAACAAGCAAAUUGUUUUGUGGCGCUGAACAUCAGCUAGAAGCCAACAAUUUUUUCUUUCACAGGAGAUUACAUUUGUCAAAGUGGUUUGGAGU